rnacentral:rRNA from 1 species
UACGGAGGGUGCAAGCGUUAAUCGGAAUUACUGGGCGUAAAGCGUGCGUAGGUGGUUCGUUAAGUCCGUUGUGAAAGCCCCGAGCUCAACUUGGGAAUUGCAGUGGAUACUGGCGAGCUGGAGUGCGGUAGAGGAAGGUGGAAUUCCCGGUGUAGCGGUGAAAUGCGUAGAGAUGCGGAGGAACACCGAUGGCGAAGGCAGCCCCCUGGGCUAACACUGACGCUCAGGCACGAAAGCGUGGGGAGCGAACAGG